AGGCGGGCACACACGUACGAGAGCUCUCAGAGAGCCAUCUCGCCUAUUCACAUCGUUCAAACGCCGAGGAGCAGCAUCACACAGCUGCACCCACAAUAGGCGUUGUUUGGAAGGGAUCUUGCCUUUCUCUCCCUCUCUACUUUCCACUGAGCAUCUCUCCGGGUACGCCCAUUUCGGAAGAAUAUAGGGAGUCGGAAGGCGCGGAGUACGAGGCAGCGUGCUGUGUGAGGCGUCACCCGUAAUAGACCUACCUUUUCUUUCGCUGUUACGGUGCUCCAUGUUUCCCUAUGCACGGCGGCAGCGCCACCAACGAGCAAGAGGCCGCGGCGCCUCAUCCACUUCUUCCACACCAAGGCUCUACCUCUGUGAGUUCCGCUGGUGCUGUCGCGUCUUCCUCCGGCGUUUCUCACCUCUCGUGUGUCAAGGGCGGAAAACGAGCUGUCCUAGCCACCCUGUGGCUCGACGUGGAACGCUACACCUAUGAGGCGCUCUGCACUGCUGGCGCGGCCGCCGUCACUACGCAUUACGUACGGUUUGUGGAAUACGGAGAAAACAAUCGUGACGAGGAGCAGCACGGCAUUCCUCACUCUAUAGACAUGCAUGCAGGCGACGGGCGAUACAACGAGGGCCUGCCAGCCGACUGUACAGCGACAUGGGAUGACUUGGCAACAGAUCCUCGAGCGCAGCCUUUGCUUCGUCUAGUUCCGCAUGAGAGUGUGGCGGUCACACGCGGGCGCUCAUCUUCCUCAGCGUCCACAUCGAUCGUUGGCGCAGCCACAGACGACACCGAAAGGCGUGCGGGCUGCGGGCAGGGCGAACAGCAGGCCAAGGCGAAUGGCUGUGCGGUGGCAGAUGACUCGACGCACCGAGACUCGGCCACUGAGGCGUUGGCUGACGCGCACGCGGCGCCAUCCACUUCCUCAGGCCUUUUGCCUCUCUCCUCACGCGACGCUGAUGUGCGCCUCGACAUUCUCGAAGAGGUAGAGCUGUGCAAUGUGGCCCCCAUACUGCCUCGCACAUUUGCUGUAGAGCAGCUGGUGCAGCAGAUCGUGCCGUGCACCCACGCUUUCGCGUCCCAAACGCCAUCGCCGUCCAUCGCGGAGAGUGCGUUGUCUGCUGAGUUCGCUUGUGAUGGCGCCACCUCACCUUCAACGGCUGGGCCCGCGCGACGGCUCAGUAUCCCCCCUCUUCGUACGUCCAUGCCAGGUCGGUGUCUUGCGCGCUUGCGGAAGGUGUCUGAUGAGCAUCUUGCCUUUCUGCGCGCGGCGAAAGGCUCACUGGUUACGACAGGGGUCGCGACGAGCGCUUCGGCUGAAAACGGUGAAGCUUUCACCGAAGAGGACAGUGUGCUUCGUGCGCGCAUGGCGCUGCCCUGUGUUCCGGUGUACAUGCAAGCCACGUCUGUGGCGACGUACGAAGGCAGCGACAACGUCUGCCCGACAGCGACGCACACCGGGGAAAGCAGCGACAGUGACCCUCAUGAGGGCAACGAGCAGCAGAGCUCGGAAGUGGGUAAAGGGGAGGUGCCGACGGUGCCCCCUGUCGUUGGGAUAUCUCAGCCGUUGCUGUCACAGCUGGCGGACUUCAGCAGCCACAGCAGCGCUAUGGAGGUGGCUUUGGCUCACGAGGCCCAGGAACGGCAGACUGCUGUCACAAUCUCUGCAGUGCGUUCUCGCUCGGAGGAACUGCUGUUAGCUGGCAGCGACAACGCUCCAACGCCACGGGAAGCGAGGGAGUCGGUCUCGCCCAUCAGCGCAUCGUUGGCGGGAGCGAUGUUUGCCGCGAAGGCCACAGCCGAGGCGUCUCUGCAUGGCGCACUUAAUGAUGAUAUUACAUGGCCGAGGCAGGAGCACCCGGCUCGAGCGCCAGGCUCCCCAACACCCUCUGCAUUGCCGAUGUCGGCUUCGAUGGAGAAUGUGGGAAGCUGCUUGAGCGAGGAAAAUAUCGCAUGCUCAUCAUUUGCCGCAGCGCAGGCCCGCUACGAGCGGUACCGUCAGCUCCUGCCGCAGAGAUGCAGGGCCGGGGCUGACUUCUCCACAAACUCAGCAAGUGCACAGGAAAGCCCAACAAAGUUGGGAGGGCUGAGCGCCCCGACAGACGCGGCACAAUAUGCUACUGCACCCUGCACAGCCGUGCUGCCCAGAUCCAAGGAGGACUUGGAAGCGGCUCAGGAGUUCUGGUCCACCGCCGCCGCGGCGUCUCUGGAACCGUCCUCCAUGACGACGAAUACAGCGACAAACGUGGCGGCGUCAGCGACGGCUGCCACAGACACCGACGCUGACGAUGCCGACUUCUUGCAAUGGAUGACUGCCCUUUCACGGCAGCGCUGCACUCAGCGCCUCUCCAUACCGCUAGAGUCAUCGAGUCAGCAGGGGUCUCGCGGGCAGCAGCAGCCGGCACACCAGCAACUCCUACGCGCGACUCAGCAGCGGCAAGGCGGCGCUGUCGUGGAGUGGUCCUCCGGCGCUGUCAGCUACACCGCCGACACGCUGGGGCUCUACGAGGAGCAGCAGGCACGCUCGCAGCGCUUUUAUCAUGUGCUGCCACCACCCCCUCUAUCUCCUUCUCUCGUUUCUACGGUGCCGGGUGCGCGGCCUGUGAACGCUGCUCCCGUUGACGGCAGCAUCAGCAGCGUCGCCUCCACGGAAGACCGGUCCAGCUUGCGAGGUGCUGUGCUCGCUCAGCUGCAGCGGCUCAGUCGCCUUCGUAGCGCUGAAUGCGCUGUCGCGCAUGGUGCAGCGGUGCUCGAAGGUGAGGACACUAUCGAGCCUCUCGUGCUUGAAAACAGGAGGCCUAUAGCUGGGGCGGCAUGUCUUUCACCCCAGCCGCCUGUUCCUGUGAAAGGGCAGCCGUCAUUGUUGUCGAGCAACUCUUCAACGUCAACACCUCCCACCAUGUCGACGGUAGCCCUCUCCGUCCGUCGGUGCCGCUGCUAUCGUUGUCUUCCCCUGAUUGUGCAGUUCGCGCAGGUGCCAUCGCUGGCGUCGCCUGUGCUGCGCCGCUACCUUGAUGUGCUUCAUCAGACAGCUCUCCCUGGACUCCCCGCACAACAGCGGCACCAUGGCGCUGAUGCCACGUCUGCCGUGGAGGUUGGUGCCGUUUCUUUACCUGAGGAAGCUCGAGAACCAGCGACGCAGCGAGUGCCAUCUUCCAUGACUGACGCACUGGCAGAGAGUGGUGGUCCAGGGGAGACGACGGUCGCUGGUGCCCGCUCAUCGAGCGAUCGACGUCAUCGUCGUGACACCGCUCACAGAAACAGUCGGCACCGGCGCUACGGAGCGGAGGACAAGGUGAAGACGGCGAACGGCACCAAGGGGAGUAAAAGAGGACGCGAAGAGACGACAGUGGCGACGCCGACCAUGCCUCACUCACCUCAGACAGGCGGUGACGCACAACGACCGCGUGUUGCAGCCGAUCCGCUGAAGGUCUUCCCAGCGCUACAGCAGUGGCUGAUGCGCAGGCAGGAAGGCGGCAUACCUGCACAAAGAGCGUCACCGAACGGGAAGCGCAGCACGACGGAGUCGGGCGGCGCCGUGCUGCCGUUGUCCGAUGACAUCCAACAGUCGGGCGGCGCGUUCUUGCAACCGGUAGCACAGACGACGACAUCGCAUCGGCACGACACGGAAACCUGUGCAUCCUGUGCAUCUGGUGCGGCUCUUCCUCCAACCUUACCCAGCGAAACCUUGAGCGGCGAGGUAGGCUCUCUGGGCUGGGUUGAUGACGCAGUGCUGGACGAGGUUGUCGUGGUUGGUGUCGUGCCGCGUGGGCAUCCGCACCAGCUGCAGCUUGUGGCACCAUCUCGCGCCUUCUGUCUGACCCUCACUCAACGUCUGGAGGAGGUUGCCGAGGCAGCCGUGCAUAUCCUCGGGUUCCUGACGCCACCACAUUCAGCCCUGCUUUCACCUCUGCCAGCUGGCAUGAGCAGGGCCCCAGAGGCGGCGGCGGCAGCGACCAGUGCGUCUUCUUCCGAGACUACCUCCGAUUGGCGGGCCUGGCUUGAGACACAGUACUUUGUUGCCAUGUGGACGACGCUGCGGCGACGCUUGACUACGGUGGAAUGGCAAACGGUGCUGCAGGAGGCACGUGGCUCUCCUUUUCUCGCGAGGUGGACUACAGUGGCGGCUGCGAGAUCGAGCGCCGAGAGCGCUGUCUUCCGCGGCCAUCCGCAGCGCACCGGGAUCGAGCUUUUUGUGACCAGAGCGAGCGAAGAGGGCAUAGCAGGGUCACCUGCGGCAGAGAAGCACAAAGUCGAGGCGACCGCACAUGAGGUCCUCCAAGGCGUGCGGGAAAGCGUGUGUUCGGCCGCUGAGUUGCACACCUCUUCCUGCCUCAGCGCCGCAGAGGACAUUGUCACCCGUGUUGUCCUCACAGCGCUGGUCCCAAUUCUGCACCGGCGCAUCACCGUCAUGUACGAGUUGCUGCGGCAUUUUGCCUCCAAGUCGCUUUACAUGUCCCACCGUAUGCAGUGCGACGCGUAUCAGCACUGGUACAGCAUGACUCCGUCUCCUGCGGCUGUGCUGCGUCUGUUACAACGCAGUGGACGUUUCAGCAGAGCCCUGGCGCGGUGCUACCCUCAGUAUGACCUUUCUCCCGUAACGCUGUCGGGGUCUACGACACUCGACGACAGCGACCACGCAGGGGCAGCGACGCGGACCGCAGUGCCGUUGAUGUCAUUUCCUUCGCACCCGCUGAGCUGGACGAGGGAUGCGGCCGGUACCCCCACAGCUGCUUGUAACGUUGCGGCUAGAGAGUCGGGGGUGACUGCAGACUUGUCCUCAAAACAUGAGGAGUAUUCUCCUCAACGCGAUGGCUUCUCAGCCAGCUGUGCUACCGCCUCUCCAGUGCGCAGCCAGGCACGCGUGACAGCGCCAGCGGAGGUCCGGGAAAUGGAGAGCUCUCUGUCGCCAUCCUCUUCCUCUUCGCUGACUACCACCGCGGCACCGAUACCUGCAGCAUCUGCUUGGGUGUCGUUUCUCCCGUCUUGGAGCGACGAGGCGUCUACGCAAGCGUCUUCACAGCAAGAGCAGCAGCCGGUGAUGACGUACGUGCCGGAGGCGGCGCUGCUUGACCCCCGCUAUCUCCAGCGUUUUGCCUGGUGGAUGCACCGCUCCCAUCACAGCACUGGAACGAACGGUAGCGGCAGUACUAUGACUAUCAGCAGCAAUGACACUGACGGGGCCGGUGUUAGAACACAGCCGCUUCCUCGAGUGGCCAGUACAGUGAACAUACCGGGAGACUAUCUGCGAGUUCUGCCUAUGCAUGAGCAAGAUGCGUCUAUUCGUAUUGUGCUGCGCAGCAUCGCGCAGAAGGGGCGGACGCUGGACUUGUUGGAGAUGAGUCAGCACAUCCACAGUCACUAUACGUCGUAUGUGUAUCACUGAAAAAAGGCGCUAUGCGGCCCCAAUGCAGCCGGUGAUUCAGCACCGGAGCAGUGGAGGGCGAAGGACGCAGGAGAGUGCCUCCCUACUCUUUUCCCAGAGGCCGUGCCUGAGACUGUGCGCGCGGCUUCCCUCGUCCGACCGGUGUUGUCUCUCUCUCUCUCCAUUCCUUCAAGUCUGCCAUCCGGCGUCUUCGUCCCGUCUGCCCCGCCCCGCCCUCUGCAGCCGUUUCCUUUUUUUGAUUUCAUCCGUGAAAUAAUCACCCGAAACGUGCACGUACACUCCAGCGAAUCAUCUGACACUGGCUGGCCGACUCUGCUGUCGUGCUAAGCCUGUACCAACCCCUUCUUCGCCCUUCCCCGCCCUCCCCUAUCGUCUCCAGCGAGUGAUGCGCGCGGUGCCGCUCGUGCGGGGUUGUGCACGCAUGUGCUGAGUACCUUUUAUUUUCUGUGUAUGCCCCCCUCCCCGCACCUCUUCUGUCUCCCCACUCCUUCACUAG
rnacentral:misc_RNA from 1 species